CGCCGAGCCUGCCCAGACUCUUCCGGAUUGGAAGUGACCAUGAGGGGCGGUGGUGCGGCCCCACUACCUCAGAGUGAGCGCGAGAGGUGGAAAGAAGGCUGAAUUCACUGGGCUUUUCUUGUCCUUCAGAAUACUGGAAAAAAUGAUCCUUGUGUUUCUUAUGAAUGUGAAGGACUCUUCUGGCUUUGGUUUAGCAUCAGCAAUAUGGGUAACAGUGUUGGGGAAAACUGGACCCUCAUCAUCGUCAUUUCAUGAGAAGGUGAUGGAAAACGCAGAGAGAGCAGAGAAGGACACAACAGUGAAAAUGAAAUACUUUUCUCAUGUUGCCAACACUUGGCUGCAGAAGUGAAUCAUCUCCCUUGAACUGCAUGUUAACUU